CCUACGGGAUGCUGCAGUGAGGAAUAUUGGUCAAUGGACGAGAGUCUGAACCAGCCAAGUAGCGUGAAGGAUGACUGCCCUAUGGGUUGUAAACUUCUUUUAUAUGGGAAUAAAACGUUCCACGUGUGGGAUUUUGUAUGUACCAUAUGAAUAAGGAUCGGCUAACUCCGUGCCAGCAGCCGCGGUAAUACGGAGGAUCCGAGCGUUAUCCGGAUUUAUUGGGUUUAAAGGGAGCGUAGGUGGAUUGUUAAGUCAGUUGUGAAAGUUUGCGGCUCAACCGUAAAAUUGCAGUUGAAACUGGCAGUCUUGAGUACAGUAGAGGUGGGCGGAAUUCGUGGUGUAGCGGUGAAAUGCUUAGAUAUCACGAAGAACUCCGAUUGCGAAGGCAGUUCACUGGACUGCAACUGACACUGAGGCUCGAAAGUGUGGGUAUCAAACAGGAUUAGAUACCCUUGUAGUC
rnacentral:rRNA from 1 species